AGCCAGAUUUCUGAAGCCUAUACCCCACAGCUUUUUGUCACAAAGCAUCCCUGUGCUAUGACACAUUCAGUGACUGGGUGUAGGUAGGUAGUUUGUCUGUUGGUUUCAAACUCAGCAUUGACUUAAAAUCAUGUGGAUAAAAAUACUAGUCAUGAGUGUAGUGCCUGCCUCAGGAGUGGAAGUGCUGAGUUUUGUAUCAAAAGGACUUAGUCACUAAUACUUUAAACCAACAUUAGAUAAAGGAGACAACUGAAAUUGCACGAGAAAUGGAGGCAAUCAAAGAACCUUCUUAUCACAGUGAUUUAAUUUUAAGCCAUCUUUCAUCGUGUAACUCAUAUUAAAAAUUAUACAUAAGGCUGGGGUGUAUCUUAGCAGAUGAGCUGUCUCCAUAGUUAGUGCAGCCACUAACUUCCAUAGUGACUUGCUGGGUUUCUCUAGCCCUACAGCAAAAUGAGUGAAUACAGUCUCAUAUCCUCUUUCUCUGUCUUUUGUGUCUUGUCUGUGAGUUGAUUUCCUGAUACAAUCCUCAACAGUUUGCUGCCCCCUAGUGUUUGAUUUACUUUGAAGUUUCUUGGAACCUGCCCUUAGACUGCAUUCCCUUGGAUGCACCUAUGGCUUUCCAGCUGCUCACUGCUGCCAAUAAGAAUGUGUAGCUAUUUUUUUUUUAAACUGAUUGUGAUUACAUUUAGCCCUGAGUUUUCCAAGUGGGGGGAAAAAAACUGGAUAGACAGAGAAUCAAGGUACCUUCCAAAAGAAUAUGUGGGCUAUUUUUGUUUUUAAUUGCAAAAGCAAUUUGUUAAAAUUAGAGAGGUAAAUGUUUGAAGUUAGCUUUGUAUGUGAACAGUUUUCUUUAUUUAAUCUGGGCUUCUUGUCUUAAAAAGGGUUGUAAACUUUCUGGCUUAUUUUGAACCAUGUAACUGUGUUGUGCUGAUAAUAAAGUUUGAAAACGUCAAAA
ensembl:lincRNA Gm28151 predicted gene 28151